rnacentral:tRNA from 2 species
GGGGUAUAGCUCAGAUGGUAGAGCGCAUGGUUCGCAUUCAUGAGGUCAGGGGUUCGAUUCCCCUUAUCUCC